AAAUAGUUUAGAGGCUGCGAUGCAGAAUAGUACUAUGUUUAGCCGGUAGGCAACGACGCAUAGGAAAGGUAACCAUCGCCGAAUGUUAUUAAUAGACAUAUUAAUAAUGUGGGAUUAUAGAUAAUAUCUAUAAUACUCCUACCCUGGGUAGUGGCGCUAAAUAAUAC
rnacentral:ncRNA from 2 species